GAUGAACGCUAGCGGCAGGCCUAACACAUGCAAGUCGAACGGCAGCACGGGUGCUUGCACCUGGUGGCGAGUGGCGAACGGGUGAGUAAUGCAUCGGAACGUGCCCAUGAGUGGGGGAUAGCCCGGCGAAAGCCGGAUUAAUACCGCAUACGCCCUUAGGGGGAAAGCGGGGGAUCUUCGGACCUCGCGCUAAUUGGGGCGCCGAUGUCGGAUUAGCUAGUAGGUGAGGUAAAGGCUCACCUAGGCGACGAUCUGUAGCUGGUCUGAGAGGAUGAUCAGCCACACUGGGACUGAGACACGGCCAGACUCCUACGGGAGGCAGCAGUGGGGAAUUUUGGACAAUGGGCGCAAGCCUGAUCCAGCCAUG
rnacentral:rRNA from 1 species